UACGAAGGGGGCUAGCGUUGCUCGGAAUCACUGGGCGUAAAGGGCGCGUAGGCGGGUCUUUAAGUCAGGGGUGAAAUCCUGGAGCUCAACUCCAGAACUGCCUUUGAUACUGAAGAUCUUGAGUCCGGGAGAGGUGAGUGGAACUGCGAGUGUAGAGGUGAAAUUCGUAGAUAUUCGCAAGAACACCAGUGGCGAAGGCGGCUCACUGGCCCGGUACUGACGCUGAGGCACGAAAGCGUGGGGAGCAAACAGG
rnacentral:rRNA from 1 species